GCCAGAGCUCAAGAUCUUUUGUUUCAG
rnacentral:sRNA from 1 species